UUUACCAAAAACAUGGCUUCAUGGUUGUAUAGUAUAUGAAGUCGAGCCUGCCCAGUGAAGUGUUUUAACGGCCGCGGUACUCUGACCGUGCAAAGGUAGCAUAAUCAUUUGCCUUAUAAUUGAAGGCUGGAAUGAAUGGUUUGACAAGAAUAUCACUGUCUCUAAGGGAUUUAUUAGAAUUUUAUUUUUAGGUGAAAAAGCCUUAAUGGUAUUGAUAGACAAGAAGACCCUAUCGAGCUUAAAAUAAAUGAGUGAGGUAUAAUUACGUUAUUUUAGAUAAUUGUUUACUAAAAAUUUUAGUUGGGGCAACUAAGGAGUAAAUAAAGCCUCCUUUGACUGGGAAACUUAUAGGUUUUGAUCCAGGAUUAAGCCUGAUUGAAAGAAAUAGUUACCGUAGGGAUAACAGCAUUAUUUUUUUUGAGAGCUCUUAUCGAAAAAAAAGUUUGUGACCUCGAUGUUGGACCAGAAUGUCCUGAAGAUGCAGAAGUCUUUAAGGGUUGGUCUGUUCGACCAUUAAUAUUCUACGUGAUCUGAGUUCAGACCGG
rnacentral:rRNA from 1 species